rnacentral:rRNA from 1 species
GACGAACGCUGGCGGCGUGCCUAAUACAUGCCAGUAGAACGCACAGUUUCUACCUUAGCUUGCUACACCAUAGACUGUGAGUUGCGAACGACUGAGUUACGCGUCGGUUACCUUCCUGGUAGCGUGGGGUAACUAUUGGUAACACUAGCUAAUACCUCCUAAUAUUAAUUAUUGCUUGAUAAUUUUUUGAAAGUUGCAACUGCAUCACUACCUGAUGGACCUGCGUUGUAUUAGCUAGUAGGUGGGGUAAAGGCGCACCUAGGCGACGCAACAUAGCCGACCGGAGAGGGUGAUCGGCCAAACUGGGACGGGGACACGGCCCAGACGGCUACGGGAGGCAGCAGUAGGGAAACUUCGGGAAUGGACGAAAGUCUGACCGAGCAACGCCGCGUGAGUGAAGAAGGAGUUCGGAUCGUAAAGCUCGGUUGUAAGGGAAGAACGGGUGUGAGAGUGGAAAGAUCACACAGUGACGGUAACGUACCAGAAAGGGACGGCUAACUACGUG